rnacentral:tRNA from 1 species
CCUAGCUCAGUUGGUAGAGCAUGGUGUUUGCAACGCCAGGGUUGUGGGUUCGAUUCCCACGG